GACGAACGCUGGCGGCGUGCUUAACACAUGCAAGUCGAACGGUGAAGCUCCAGCUUGCUGGAGUGGAUCAGUGGCGAACGGGUGAGUAACACGUGAGCAACCUGCCCCUGACUCUGGAAUAAGCGCUGGAAACGGCGUCUAAUACUGGAUACGAGAAGGGUCCGCAUGGGCACUUUCUGGAAAGUUUUUCGGUUGGGGAUGGGCUCGCGGCCUAUCAGCUUGUUGGUGAGGUAAUGGCUCACCAAGGCGACGACGGGUGGCCGGCCUGAGAGGGCGACCGGCCACACUGGGACUGAGACACGGCCCAGACUCCUACGGGAGGCAGCAGUGGGGAAUAUUGCACAAUGGGCGAAAGCCUGAUGCAGCGACGCCGCGUGAGGGAUGACGGCCUUCGGGUUGUAAACCUCUUUCAGCAGGGAAGAAGCGAAAGUGACGGUACCUGCAGAAGAAGCACCGGCUAACUACGUG
rnacentral:rRNA from 1 species